rnacentral:rRNA from 1 species
UACGGAGGGUGCAAGCGUUAACCGGAAUUACUGGGCGUAAGCGUGCGCAGGCGGUUUUGUAAGCCAGAUGUGAAAUCCCCGGGCUUAACCUGGGAAUGGCAUUUGGGACUGCAAGGCUGGAGUACGGCAGAGGAGACUGGAAUUCCUGGUGUAGCAGUGAAAUGCGUAGAGAUCGGGAGGAACACCAGUGGCGAAGGCGGCUACCUGGACCAGCACUGACACUGAAGCACGAAAGCGUGGGGAGCAAACAGG